GCCCUGCUAAUCCAGCGUGGUCGGAACAAAUCAUUAAGACAUCUCUUCGAAUCGGAAGGUAAAUUGAAUCUUUCACAUCAAAACGAUUCUCCAGCCUCACAAAAGUGCAUUCUACUUAGAUCUAGCGUACAGGCAUUCGGAGGAGGAAAGAAGCAGCUACAAAAGUACCACCUAUCGCGCGUCGAUUGAACCACCAUUUUGCCUAGCACGAGCACAUAAAAUUCCAUAGGAGGAUAUCACCAGAUCAAAGCUGCGCGCGAAGCAUGAUUACCAAAGAAGGCUCUCAAACAGAGAGCCUUUUAUAGCGUGCUUCUCAGCGGCGCACGCGUCCCCGUCGUGCCAUCGCAAUCAGCACAUGCCGGCAUCGCCAUCUCGCCGGACUUCAUAGUG